UACGGAGGGUGCAAGCGUUGUCCGGAUUUAUUGGGUUUAAGGGUGCGUAGGCGGCCCGUUAAGUCAGUGGUGAAAGCCUCCAGCUCAACUGGAGAACUGCCAUUGAUACUGGCGGGCUUGAGUACAGACGAGGUAGGCGGAAUUGAUUGUGUAGCGGUGAAAUGCAUAGAUACAAUCAAGAACACCGAUUGCGUAGGCAGCUUACUAGGCUGUAACUGACGCUGAGGCACGAAAGCGUGGGGAGCGAACAGG
rnacentral:rRNA from 1 species